UACGUAGGGACCAAGCGUUGUUCGGAUUUACUGGGCGUAAAGGGCGCGUAGGCGGCAUGACAAGUCACUUGUGAAAUCUCUGGGCUUAACUCAGAACGGCCAAGUGAUACUGUCGCGCUAGAGUGCAGAAAGGGCAAUCGGAAUUCUUGGUGUAGCGGUGAAAUGCGUAGAUAUCAAGAGGAACACCGGUGGCGAAGGCGGGUCUCUGGGAAGGUACUGACGCUGAGACGCGAAAGCGUGGGGAGCGAACAGG
rnacentral:rRNA from 1 species